CUUCAGAGGGCAGUGGGCAGCCAUAGGCUUUCGGAAAGGAACUCAGUUGGAAACUGACUUGAUUUUGAAAAUGUUAUUUUGGCUGCUCCGUGGAUAGUGGAUUUCAGUGGACGAGAGCGGAAACAGGGUGAUCUGCCGGGAGGAUGCUGCGGGCUGACAAGUGGAAACCCCAGCGUCCUGGCCAGGGACGGGCGCAGGCAGACUGCUGGCGGGACCCGGAGGGGGCGGGUCUCAUCCCUCAUGCCUCACGCUUCAGCCUCAGCCGCCGUACUACCGACACUCGACACUCGGGGCUGCCUAGAUGCAGUUCCCUCCCUCAAGUUUUCCAAAUUGACACUACUGCACUUUUUCAUGUGGCCCAGAGGAUCCUCCUUUCUGCCCUGGAUGAAGAGGACAACGUUUCUUAGUUCCACUGACGUGAGGUGCGCAGGAAGUUUGCUUAGUGAUUAAGAUCAUGGAUUCUAAAGUCAGACUGUGUGGAUUUAUUCUAAUUCUAUCAUAGCUUCUGAUCUUGAGUGACUUUUAACCUCUACAGUCCUUAGUUUCCUCUUCAUCAUGGGGACAACGUAUUAGCAUGCUUAACUCAUAUGGACUGUUAAAAAUUCUUAAAAAAUUAAUUGUGAUAAUAUGUUUAAAACACUUAACGUGUUGACUGACAUUUGGUAAGUGCUCAAUAAAUGGUCAGUCAUUUUUCUUUUUAAUGGAGCA
rnacentral:lncRNA from 1 species